UCUCCAGCUGUUUUUAGGCUACAACUCCCAUCAUCCCUGACCAUUGGUCCUGCUAGCUAGGGAUGAUGGGAGUUGUAGUCCAAAAACAGCUGAGGA